rnacentral:sRNA from 1 species
CACUGAAAUAGAGUCCGGGUUAAACGGGAGCGAUGG